rnacentral:lncRNA from 1 species
ACGCCGCCGUCGGGCGGUCGUAGGACAUGGCCGCCAGGAGGUAGCUCUCGGUGAUGCCCAGAGCCACGAAGAAGUACAUCUCGGCAAAGCACGCCUGGAAGGAUAUGGCCUGGCCCGGGUGGAGCAGGCCGGCCAGCAGCCUGGGGACCGUGACGGUGGUAAAGCAGACGUCCACGAGGCUCAGACAUGCCACAAAAUGUUGAAUGAAGAUAGGCAGCGUUGGCAAGGAGAGUUUCUGAAACUUCCACUGGAGGGCUCUGCGUGUUCCGGCAGGAAUGGUUUGAGAGCCAGUUUCUGAGUGCCCCAGAGGAGAAUGCUGUAGUGAACACAGCCCUGUACAGAGAAGACAGCAGCUU